rnacentral:rRNA from 1 species
AUACGUAGGGAGCGAGCGUUGUCCGGAAUUACUGGGUGUAAAGGGAGCGUAGGCGGGAUGGCAAGUCAGAUGUGAAAACUCUGGGCUCAACCCAUAGACUGCAUUUGAAACUGUUGUUCUUGAGUGAAGUAGAGGGAAGCGGAAUUCCUGGUGUAGCGGUGAAAUGCGUAGAUAUCAGGAGGAACAUCGGUGGCGAAGGCGGCUUACUGGGCUUUUACUGACGCUGAGGCUCGAAAGCGUGGGGAGCAGACAGGAUUAGAUACCCUGGUAGUCCACGCUGUAAACGAUGAUUACUAGGUGUGGGGGGACUGACCCCUUCCGUGCCGCAGUUAACACAAUAAGUAAUCCACCUGGGGAGUACGGCCGCAAGGUUGAAACUCAAAGGAAUUGGCGGGG